GGUUCUACAGUGAAAGACGGUCUUGCUGUCACUUAUAGAUGGACCCGCGCCGUAUUAGCUAGUUGGUGGGGUAACGGCCUACCAAGGCGACGAUACGUAGCCGACCUGAGAGGGUGAUCGGCCACACUGGAACUGAGACACGGUCCAGACUCCUACGGGAGGCAGCAGUAGGGAAUCUUCCGCAAUGGGCGAAAGCCUGACGGAGCAACGCCGCGUGAGUGAUGAAGGUCUUCGGAUCGUAAAGCUCUGUUGUUAGGGAAGAACAAAUGUGUAAGUAACUGUGCACAUCUUGACGGUACCUAACCAGAAAGCCACGGCUAACUACGUGCCAGCAGCCGCGGUAAUACGUAGGUGGCAAGCGUUAUCCGGAAUUAUUGGGCGUAAAGCG
rnacentral:rRNA from 1 species